UACGUAGGGUGCGAGCGUUGUCCGGAAUUAUUGGGCGUAAAGAGCUCGUAGGCGGCUUGUCGCGUCGGAUGUGAAAGCCCCGGGGCUUAACCCCGGGUCUGCAUUCGAUACGGGCAGGCUAGAGUUCGGUAGGGGAGAUCGGAAUUCCUGGUGUAGCGGUGAAAUGCGUAGAUAUCAGGAGGAACACCGAUGGCGAAGGCAGUUCUCUGGGCCGUAACUGACGCUGAGGAGCGAAAGCGUGGGGAGCGAACAGG
rnacentral:rRNA from 1 species